GACAUUGGAGUUCCUAAAAGAAAAGAGAAAGAUCAAAUUAUAGGGCUUGCACUGAGUUUCAAAGAGGAUUGGCAAGAUGGGUUGUAGAAUUAAAUGACAGGCAGAGUGUGUAUGUGGAGAAGGGUUGGUGUAAAUGUAUGUGUGUUGGUGUGUGUGUACACAUGCAUGAGAGAGAGAGGAGGGAAGCAACAGAGGGCUAUUGAUGCAAACCUAUAGCCUAAUUAAUUAUCCACGACAGAAAAAGAAAUUCCUCCUACCCUUGCAAGUUGUCUUGUCUUCCUCUGAAUACAAAGUGUAUACCAACAGAAUCUACCAGCCAACCAGAACAGGCCCACUUGGUGAUCCACCACAUGCCAUGUGACACUUUCCUCAGCCAUGGGAGGGGGCAACUCUCAUGUGUAGCUCUUGCUGACCCUUUAAGAAAACCCAUUCCGCAAAGUGGUCUCUUUAGAAUCUAUCCUUACUGGAACUGUGUGUGACCUCUAAAACGGCUGUGCUGUGAG
rnacentral:lncRNA from 1 species